rnacentral:rRNA from 1 species
AUUGAACGCUGGCGGCAGGCCUAACACAUGCAAGUCGAGCGGAUGAAGGGAGCUUGCUCCUGGAUUCAGCGGCGGACGGGUGAGUAAUGCCUAGGAAUCUGCCUGGUAGUGGGGGAUAACGUCCGGAAACGGGCGCUAAUACCGCAUACGUCCUGAGGAGAAAGGUGGGGAUCUUUGGAACCCCCCCCAACAGAAGAGCCUAGGUCGGAUUAGCUAGUUGGUGGGGUAAAGGCCUACCAAGGCGACGAUUCGGUACUGGUCUGAGAGGAUGAUCAGUCACACUGGAACUGAGACACGGUCCAGACUCCUACGGGAGGCAGCAGUGGGGAAUAUUGGACAAAGGGCGAAAGCCUGAUCCAGCCAUGCCGCGUGUGUGAAGAAGGUCUUCGGAUUGUAAAGCACUUUAAGUUGGGAGGAAGGGCAGUAAGUUAAUACCUUGCUGUUUUGACGUUACCAACAGAAUAAGCACCGGCUAACUUCGUG